AACACAGGGCUGUGAAUGAGCCCUGUCACUGUGAUCAGGCUCCUCCUUCUGAUCCACCAUCUUAGUGUUGAUGAAGACUAAACUGAGAGACCACAGCCUGCUUUAUACUUGCUGUAGCUCACAGUGACUCAACACUGCAGACAUGAUGCCUCUGUUCAUCUCAGUGCUGCUGGCUGCUAUGUGCCUUGAAUGCAGAGCACAAAAAGAAAACGUGCUGCAACCAAAAGGAGACGUGACCGCUACUGAAGGAGAAGCAGUAACACUUGACUGUCGAUAUAACAGCAGUUCAACAACUCCAUAUCUCUACUGGUACAAACAGGGAUGGACCACAACCCAAAUUCAUCCUGAGCCGCAUUAAACUGGAUGAAGGAAACACAGCAGACGACCACAAGGAGAGAUUUUCAUCCACUCUGAAUUCCACCGUCAGAUCAGUUCCUCUGAAGAUCCAGAAGCUUCAGGUGUCUGACUCUGCUGUGUACUACUGUGCUUGCAGCCCACAGUGA